AACCUCUCUGGGGUGAUCAUCAGAUUGAGAUAGGUAGGUUCAUUGCAGCCCAAUACCAGCCACCUCCCCAACCCUAUCGUGCACCAAAUCAGAGCAAUGAAGAUGACUGCAUCUUGGACUACCUUAGUUUCAUGGAUCAGGAUGACCUUGUUGAGCAGGUUCAUCGUCAUUGAUUGUGAAGCCACAUCAAACUUGUUAUACUGUUGGUUGUUUUUCUCAGACCCAACAUAGUGAGAGACUGAUAAAGACCAACACUAUAAUUUGAGAGCAGUUUGAUAUGUAUUACUUAUUUAGAAUUUGUGCACAUUCUUAAUUGAUUUUAUUUGUGAUGUUUACACAUACUGAUGUAAAUUGUUUUUUAUUGAACAUGUUUCCUUUUUGUUUGUUUUUAAUUCUAAUUUUUAUA